UCAAGCUACAAAGGGCGCAGGGCGAAUGCCUUGGCACUGGGAGCCGAAGAAGGACGUGGUUAACUGCGAUAAGCUGCGGGGAGUCGUAAGCAGACGUUAUAUCCGCAGAUUUCCGAAUGGGGCAACCCGGCUGAUUGCAGAUCAGUCAACAUAUACUGAAUAAAAUAGGUAUAUGUGGGGAACCGCCUGAACUGAAACAUCUAAGUAGGGCGAGGAAGAGAAAUCAAACGAGAUUCCGCCAGUAGUGGCGAGCGAACGCGGAAGAGGCCAAACCGAGGGUAGAAAUACCUUCGGGGUUCGGACAGCGAUAUGUAGGCAAAAGGUUAGUCGAAGUGUGUGGGAAAGCACAUCAAAGAGGGUGAUAAUCCCGUAGACGAAAACUGAUUGCCGCUAGCUGUAUCCAGAGUACCGCCGGACACGUGAAACCCGGUGGGAACAUGGGGGGACCACCCUCCAAGCCUAAAUACUACCCAGUGACCGAUAGAGUAAUAGUACUGUGAAGGAAAGGUGAAAAGGACCCCGGGAGGGGAGUGAAAUAGAACCUGAAACCCUGUGCUUACAAGCACCGAGAGCCCGUCAAUGGGUGAUCGGGUACUUUUUGUAGAACGGUCCGGCGAGUAUAUGGAACAAGCAAGGUUAAGGUCUUCAGGACCGCAGCCGAAGGGAAACCAAGUCUUAAUAGGGCGCACAGUUUGUUUCAUAUGACCCGAAACCGGGUGACCUAUCCAUGUCCAGGUUGAAGUGGCGGUAAAACGCCAUGGAGGACCGAACCAACCCCCGUUGAAAAGGUGGUGGAUGAGGUGUGGAUAGCGGAGAAAUUCCAAUCGAACUCGGAUAUAGCUGGUUCUCCCCGAAAUAGCUUUAGGGCUAGCGUUGUGUUAGAUUACCGGAGGUAAAGCACUGAAUAGGCUAGGGGGCGAGAGUCUACCGACCCUUAUCAAACUCUGAAUGCCGGAUAAUUGAUGCACAGCAGUCAGACAGUGUGAGAUAAGUUUCAUUGUCAAAAGGGAAACAGCCCAGACCUACAGCUAAGGUCCCAAAUGUAUGCUAAGUGGAAAACGAUGUGGAAUUGCGAAAACAACCAGGAUGUUGGCUUAGAAGCAGCCACUCAUUAAAAGAGUGCGUAAUAGCUCACUGGUCGAGUGACUCUGCGCGGAAAAUAUAACGGGGCUAAGCAUGCAACCGAAGCUUAGGAUUGUCUAAAGACAGUGGUAGGGGAGCGUCGUGUACGGGGUGAAGUCGCAGCGGAAGCAGCGGUGGACUGUACAGGAGUGAGAAUGCCGGAAUGAGUAGCGAGAAUUAUGUGGGAAUCAUAAUGGCCGAAAAUCUAAGGUUUCUUGGGGAAGGUUCGUCCGCCCAAGGUAAGCCGGGAGCUAAGGCGAGGCCGCAAGGCGUAGUCGAUGCACAUACGGUAGAAAUUCCGUAGCCACCGAACUUUAAACCAGAAGGACACUUGCAGAUAGCGGAACCCAGCCGUUGGUUGAGCUGGGCGUAAGGGACUGAAAUAUAGUAGGGAAGUCCGCGAUGCUGUGAGGCGAGAAAAGCUCUGGUGUAUACUAAGGUGCCCGUACCGCAAACCGACACAGGUAGAUGAGGAGAGAAUCCUAAGGCCAACGGGAGAAGGGUUGUUAAGGAACUCGGCAAAUUGACCCCGUAACUUCGGAAGAAGGGGAGCCUCGAAAGAGGCCGCAGUGAAUAGGCCCAAGCAACUGUUUACCAAAAACACAGGUCUAUGCUAAAUCGAAAGAUGACGUAUAUGGGCUGACGCCUGCCCGGUGCCGGAAGGUUAAGAGGAGAGCUUAGCGCAAGCGAAGGUUUGAAUUGAAGCCCCGGUAAACGGCGGCCGUAACUAUAACGGUCCUAAGGUAGCGAAAUUCCUUGUCAGGUAAGUUCUGACCCGCACGAAAGGCGUAAUGAUUUGGGCACUGUCUCAACAGCCCGCCCGGCGAAAUUGUAGUACCGGUGAAGAUGCCGGUUACCCGCAACUAGACGGAAAGACCCCAUGGAGCUUUACUGCAGCUUAAUACUGAAAUUCGGUAGUACAUGUACAGGAUAGGUGGGAGACUGAGAAAUACAGGCGUCAGCUUGUAUGGAGUCGCUGUUGGGAUACCACUCUUGUACUGCUGGGUUUCUAACCUGCGGCCGUGAAUCCGGUCGGGGGACACUGUUAGGCGGGCAGUUUGACUGGGGCGGUCGCCUCCAAAAGAGUAACGGAGGCGCUCAAAGGUUGGCUCAGCACGGACGGAAAUCGUGCAAUGAGUGUAAACGUAUAAGCCAGCCUAACUGCGAGACCGACGGGUCGAGCAGUAACGAAAGUUGGAGUUAGUGAUCCGGUGGUAUGUGAGUGGAAAUGCCAUCGCUCAACGGAUAAAAGCUACCCUGGGGAUAACAGGCUGAUCUCCCCCAAGCGUCCACAGCGACGGGGAGGUUUGGCACCUCGAUGUCGGCUCGUCGCAUCCUGGGGCUGAAUUCGGUCCCAAGGGUUUGGCUGUUCGCCAAUUAAAGCGGCACGCGAGCUGGGUUCAGAACGUCGUGAGACAGUUCGGUCCCUAUCUGUUGCGGGCGUAGGAGAUUUGAAGGGAGCUGUCCUUAGUACGAGAGGACCGGGAUGGACAUACCUCUGGUGUACCAGUUGUUCUGCCAAGAGCAACGCUGGGUAGCUAAGUAUGGACGGGAUAACCGCUGAAUGCAUCUAAGCGGGAAACCCACCUUGAAACUAGGUAUCCCAAUUAAGACCGUGGUAGACCACCACGUUGAUAGGUCAGGUGUGUAAGCACAGCAAUGUGUUUAGCUAACUGAUACUAAUAAUCUGAUUGGCUUGAUAAC
rnacentral:rRNA from 1 species